UCAGGAUAUAAUGGACACUCAGAUGGUCCCUAAAUCCAGAGAUCUUGUCCCUCUGCUCACAUCAACCCUUUCUGCAAGGGAAUUUGUCGUGUACCAAUACGGAAUGGUGAUCCUGAAAUUCCUCAGGCCUCAUAUUGGCGCACCAGAGAUUGAUCUGUGUGUUGCUUCCAGCAUUCCUUCCAGCAACACACCAGGAAACGCCUUCCGGAACUCUUUCCAUUAUCAGACCUCUGGCAACAAACUGUUCAUUCUAAGGGAGUGCCUGAGUUGCGUGGGCAGUUUUAUCCUGCUUCUCGUGCAUUGCCUGGCCC